ensembl:lncRNA
UCCUUUCCUCACAUGCGUGGCGGCCAUUGGUGAGGGCCUGGCGCUCUUCGCAAUGAGGCAAGCAGGGCCUUCCUCAGCUCAAGUGCUGCUCAGGAUGGCUCCAGACUGGCACUGGAGAUGUCCCAAGCGGUGCUUUUUGUUCAGAAGGCUGUUAAAUGGACAGAUAUCAGUUAAGAUUUGCCCAGCUUGUCAUUCCGUGCAGUAGAGGUUCUGUCAUGUGAUAUUACUCCACACAAGAGGAAAGCCAGAGCAGCUUUACGCCACUGGAAAAUGCUGAGCUUUGGCAGGGGGAGCUUGGAGUCAGGAGGUGUCUGAGCACAGGGCAGUCCCGUCACUGGAGCUUCAUCCAUGCUCCUGCUUCUGCAGCAGUGCUGUUGCUAUGUGACAGUCUCUCAGUGCACCUGCUUCACCCCAGAGAUGGCUGCCUUUUGUGGUGUCAGCGGGGAUGCUGCAUAUACAGUUUGAGGACUUUAUAGACACAUCCUAUGUUCUGCAGGCUAACACGUAAAACUUCCUUCUUAAGUUGUUUAGUUGUAUAUAAUAGCUAUUUGUCUGGAGAAAUCUGAGCCUGGAAUAAGAGUUACUCAAAAUUUUAAAUCAAAAUUAUGUUAGAUUGCAACAUCCUAACUCUUGAGUUGUUGGGCUUAAGAGAAAGUAAACUUUCUGAGAUCUCAUCCAAUGUUAGUGUCAUUUUAAUGGGAAGGAAGGUGAUCCAGUGCUUCCCUCCAGAUUCUUAUUCAACUCUUUCCCCUGCAAUCUCCAUGGAUGUAAGCUUGAGCAUGUUACAGAGGGAGUUGUGUGUCCAUAGCAGGGAUGGAGCUGGCUACAGUGCAAUUCCUUGCCAUCUUGUCCCCUUUCAAUAAGCCCGGUUGAGAGUCUGAGUUCAGUAGUAGCCCAUUGUGAGCACAGACCACACCAUGUCUGUGACCAUGAGCUGUCAGAGCUGCGUGUCACAGCACUGUGCAAAGGACAAGCUCAGGUCCAUGCUAGCCUGGGAAGGUCAGCACUUGCACUGCUUCAUACAAUCAGUCCCUUCCUCUGCUUUGAUCUUCCUUCUGUAAAAAGAUCCAUUUCCCUUCUUCCAUGAGCACUUCUGCAGAUAAAGCACUGAUGAGUAUGAUGCAGGUGGCCACUGCAGGACUGGAGAACUGUUUAUGUAUCAAAGAGAUUUUGAUAUAGAUUAUUGCUAGUUGAAACUUAUUCUACAGAGCCAAGAAUGCUGUUAGGUCUUCCUUAGCAAUAGUUCUGGUCCUCAUUAGAAGCUGGUAGUUUGCACAUUUGAAAUAAUUGUUCAUAAUAAUUUCUGUCUGGAAGAGAAACCUGAGAAAUGUGUAGGGCUUACAGCAGCAUGGUCUCACAGCAACGCGCAGGUCACCAUGCUGGCUUUGGCUCUGCCCGCUCUGCACAGUUGGCCAAGCAGUAGUGUAGUGUGGCUGUAAUGUGCAUGUUAAUAUGACAGUGGUUUAUCGGUAGCAUUGCUUGGUCUCUGGAAAGUGGGGAACAAAUCUUUCUGGAGUUUAUGCAAUUGUAUCACAAUUGGUUUGGGAUAAUUAUUGAAUGCAAACAAAAGCAACAUUUUUUUUUCUCUGCACAUAGACUGUAGUUGAUGUUGCAUUAUUAUGGUUUUGUUUUCUGCUUAACAUUCCUCUGUAAGUGCAGCUCCUCUGAGGCUUGAAGUGAGACAAACAAAACUGAGCCAAAGUGACUUUCUUUUCUGUGUGUAAGGGGAUGGACGCUGAGUGAUAAUGACAUACUUUGCGUGUGAGCAGCAGGUGCGAGACCAAGCGUCUACUGUGGAUUAAAGUAAAUAUGUUUUUUUCUAUAUUUAACUGAUAUGUGUCAAAGAAACAAUGUUUAAAUG